AUGUAUGUGUGCAAGGUGUCCAUGUACACCCAUGGAUGUGUGUGUACAUGGAUGUUUGUGUGCAAGGUGUGUGUGUACAGCUGUGUGUGUGUACAUGUACGUAUGUGUGUGUGUGUGCACAUGUGUGCACAUAUAUUUGUGUACACACACGUGUGCACUGUGUGCAUGUCCACGUGUGUACACGUACAUAUGUGUGCAAGCUGAGUGUGUGCACGUGUGCACAUGUAUGUACGUGUGCAAGGUGUGUGUGUACACCCAUGCAUGUGUGUGUGUACAUGUAUGUAUGUGGGUGUGCACGCACAUGCAUGCCCGUGUGUGUGUAUGUGUACAUGUGUUCAAGCUGUGUGUGUACAUGUACACAUACAUAUGUGUGCAAGCUGCACGUGUACACCUGUGCACACAUAUGUAAGUGUGCAAGAUGCGUGUACAAUUGUGUAUGUGUGUAUACACGUAAGUGUGCAAGGUGCACAUGCAUGCCCAUGUGUGUGUGUACACGUACAUACGUGUGCAAGCUGUGUGUGUACAUGCGUGCACACUUAUGUAAGUGUGCAAGCUGUGUGUGUACACCUGUGUACGUGUGAGCAAGGUGUGUGUGUACACCCAUGCAUGUGUGUGUACAUGUGUGUAUGUGGGUGUGUGUGCACAUGUAUGCCCGUGUGUGUGUGUACGUGUACAUAUGUGUGCAAACUGCAUGUGUACACAUGUGUACAUGUGUGUAAGUGUGCAAGCUGUGUGUACACCUGUGUACGUGUGUGUACACGUGUGUAAGCAUGCAAGGUGCACACGCAAUGCCCACGUAGGUGUGUGUGUGUGCCCGUAGCUCUGCACACACACACGUGCACACGCGUGCCCGCGGGUCUGUGGCUCUUGCACACGCGUGUGACCCCCCCGCGCCCCCCCAGGUUCCUGGCGGCGGGGGGCUACGUGCUGUACCCGCAGAUCGGGGACCGGCUGGACGUGGUGUGCCCGGGGGCGGCGGGGGGGGGGGGGGUACGAGUCCUACAAACGGUCCUGGGGGGGGGGGGGCGCAGGGGGGGCUGUGCCGCGCCCCCCCCGCCCCCGCCCCCGCCCCGCUGCUCACCUGCGACCGCCCCCAGCGCGAGCUGCGCGCAACCAUCAAGUUCCAGGAGUUCAGCCCCAGCCUCUGGGGGCACGAGUUCCGCCGCCUGCGCGA
rnacentral:lncRNA from 1 species